rnacentral:rRNA from 1 species
GACGAACCGUGCGAACGUUGUUCGGAAUCACUGGGCUUGAAGGGCGCGUAGGCGGGCUGUCAAGUCUGGGGUGAAAUGCCGCGGCUCAACCGUGGAACUGCCUCAGAUACUGACGGCCUCGAGGAAGGUAGGGGCAUGCGGAACUAUCGGUGGAGCGGUGAAAUGCGUUGAUAUCGAUAGGAACUCCGGUGGCGAAGGCGGCAUACUGGACCACUUCUGACGCUGAGGCGCGAAAGCCAGGGGAGCGAACGGG